CGUGAUGCCAGGCCACUCUCCUAAAAACCACGAGCUGUGAAAGUAGACACCCUCCUUCUUCCUACGGAUCCCAGGCUUUAUCUUGAAUGACCUCGUCUCACCGCCCUCGUCGAACGCAUUCUUGUUUUCCUCAGUCAAGUAUUACAGAUGAUCUUUAUAGUUUUACAAGAGUCCCGAACUUUCGAAAAAGAAAUUUUUAACAGCGCAAAAAACACCUGUCCGUUGCUCUGUCUUACUCUCAGUUACUUCGUUUCCUCUACCACUACAAAGCGACACUAACUCUGUGCGCACCUAGCGGAGACUGAAGUGAGGUUAGGUCGAGAAUCGAUAUUACGAAGAUACUUCGAUGGCCGCCAUAUUUCUAUAUUAUUGCGCGCGUUAUAUGAAUCACUUGAUAUAGCCAGAGAGGAAAUUCUUUUCAAUUACAACUAUUCGAUCAUCUGAUCCUUUAUUGUAAAUAAAUAAACGAAUAAAUAAAUAAAUAAAUAAAUAUAUAUAUAUA